GACAGAGGCCCCAAGCGUUAGGCGGAAUCACUGGGCUUAAAGCGUGUGUAGGCGGAUCGUUAAGUGUCUUGUGAAAUCCCACGGCUCACCCGUGGAACUGCUGGGCAUACUGGCGAUCUUGGGCCAACUAGGGGCAGUCGGAACAAGCGGUGGAGCGGUGAAAUGCGUUGAGAUCGGAAGGAACGCCCGUGGCGAAAGCGAGGUCCUGGGCUCCUGCUGACGCUGAGACGCGAAAGCCAGGGGAGCGAACGGG
rnacentral:rRNA from 1 species